UUCUGGUCGGUAGCCACGUGGACUCAGUGCUCAGUCUCAGGUGGUCCCGCUCAGCUGUUGGAGGUUUCAAUGCCCCUCGAAGCUCCUGUGACGUGGGAGUUUAGGCACAGGUUUCUACGUAUGCGGUGCUCCACUUCCUUCCCUGGUCCCUUCUGCUAGGGGAGAAGGCUUGCGAUUUGGUGGGA